rnacentral:rRNA from 1 species
GGGUGGUAAUGCCGGAUGUUCCACAUGAUCGCAUGUGAUUGUGGGAAAGAUUCUAUCGGCGUGGGAUGGGGUCGCGUCCUAUCAGCUUGUUGGUGAGGUAACGGCUCACCAAGGCUUCGACGGGUAGCCGGCCUGAGAGGGCGACCGGCCACAUUGGGACUGAGAUACGGCCCAGACUCCUACGGGAGGCAGCAGUGGGGAAUAUUGCACAAUGGGCGCAAGCCUGAUGCAGCGACGCCGCGUGAGGGAUGGAGGCCUUCGGGUUGUAAACCUCUUUUGUUUGGGAGCAAGCCUUCGGGUGAGUGUACCUUUCGAAUAAGCGCCGGCUAACUACGUGCCAGCAGCCGCGGUAAUACGUAGGGCGCAAGCGUUAUCCGGAUUUAUUGGGCGUAAAGGGCUCGUAGGCGGCUCGUCGCGUCCGGUGUGAAAGUCCAUCGCUUAACGGUGGAUCUGCGCCGGGUACGGGCGGGCUGGAGUGCGGUAGGGGAGACUGGAAUUCCCGGUGUAACGGUGGAAUGUGUAGAUAUCGG